UUUCGAAUAUUACUAAUUUUGUGAUGCUCUUUCAAGCUGUGAUGAAAUUUUUGUCCAGACUUCUUGAGAUCAAGAUUUUGUUCAUUAGGCAAUAGGUCCAUUACGAUCACCCAUAAUCGACUUUUUUGUCGCCUUCGUCAAAUUAAACGUCGAAAUGGCGAUCAGAGUACGUUAAAAACAUUCCGAAGAUGUAUCAAAUUACUGUGAUGAAAUUGUUCGAAAAUUCUCACGGUUGAAGUGCAUGAAUAAUAGGAUUUUAUUAAUGAGAAAAGAAUAUUUUCCGUGUAUAGAAUGCAAUCAACACUAGGGACUUACACUAGUAACAGAAGUAAGUAAAUAAAGCAUUUAAUUAUGUCAUUUUAUUGAAAUAUUACGCUGGAUUUUUAAUGUUUUGUUGAC
rnacentral:lncRNA from 1 species